UACUAAAUACUAAUAAUAGGUAUGUGGACUAAUCAGAAUGAACCUAGGAACCAGAAGAAUGGAACUUACCGAGUCAUAAUUCAACGAGGGGGCAGAAUUCUAUCACUACCAACGAGACUUUAACACAGAACCAAGGCUUUGACUCCUAUCUAUGUGCCUGCCCGCCCUGCCUAACUCCUUUUCUUUCUUUAGAACCUCUGAUCCGCGUCCUUGCUUUACUGAUUGACUCUUUACUAUUACCUAAUAGAAUAGAACAACUGCUAACAAGGCAACAGUCGCUGCUUAUGGGAACUCAAUUACAACUAGUAAGCAUCGAACUCGAAACUAGGACUUCAAUUAAGCAUUGGGCCUAACCCGGUAAUUGCACUGCAGCUAACGAGACUUUCACUCCCAAUAUAGAAUCCUAACUCCAGUAGCAACAGACGCCCACUUAACGAAAAAAAGGCAGAAGAAACCUUUUACAAUAGAAGAGCUGUAUUACAAGAAUAUAGAUAGUAUGAUGGUAGCGUACCCAGUAUUAACUAAGAAGAAAGAAUACACUCGGGAAUGAAACUCAUUAGUCUAACUAUUUCCUCUAGGGUUAAAGAAAACAACCAAUAGGAGCAAGGAUGAAAAGGAAGAAAAUGAACUACUCUACCAAGAGCGAAGAUACAACUAGUAAUAAGGAAAGUGAGAAUCUAACUAGAAAGUGGGGAGACUAAUGCUAACAUUCAGAAUCAAGAAGAUAGCUUGUAUUAUAUAUAAGUAUAAGCCUAAGAAUUCCAUGGGUGUAUCAGAGGAUUCAAAUGGAAACUCAGAGUAAAAACAAAGGCAUCGCAGCUGACGCUGCCCUCUCUAUUGAUUGUGACUUUUGACUCUAUUAAUUUACCGGUUUAGCCUUCCAUUUCUCCCCUCAAUUCUGUAGUUAGGGCGUGAGUCUGCGUAGUAUCAUCCAUAAGGAACUAGCGGGGUAUGAUCUAGCACAUCCAGGUAUCAGAGGAAAACCCCCAAUAUAGAAUUGACUGCUGUAAACCAAGCCUUACAACGACAACAGGGGGCAAAAGCCUUAUUAUUGUUAUUUCACAUCGAGCCAAGGCCCCUUAUUCAUGCCCCUCCAGUGCCCAAGCCUUAUUCUAUGCCCAGUAGUACACGCCUUAUUCUAUUCUAUGUAUCAAACUAGGCACUAGAGAGUAUACUCCAACUAGGCAUUCGAGAAAGGAGUAGAGGCACGGAAGCGGGAGUCAAGUCAAAGCCAAUAGUGAAUAGUGAAUUCCGCCUAGGAACUACACUUUAUAUCUGAUUGCACUUACUCUCCUUUCAGUUCCGUUUCUUCCUGCUUAAGAUAUUUCUUAUGAUCCGGAUCUCGUCGACUUCACUUACACUGCUGAUUCAGAUGCAGCUCUACCUGAUUUUGAGAGGGAACAGCGCUACCGCGCAACAUUAGUAGUUGCUUGGUGACUUUCACACCAGAUAGAGAGUGGUUUCCUGGACUAUAUGGAACUGCACCUAUUAAGUGAAGUAAGUCGGAAACAAUCACCGUUAAGUAAGUCGGAAACAAUCACCAGAUACUAUAUGGAACUGCCCUUAUUAAGUAAGUCGGAAACAAUCACUAGAUCUAUGCCUCUUCCUCUCUGUAAACUAAUACUGAUUCAAGAUGAACAACAGUACCACUACUUAUUGGAGCUGGGCCUUUACUACUACUUUAAGGAUCCUAUCCCCGGGAUGGGAAAAAGAAGAUAAAUUGACCUCGCUAGUAGUUACUUUUGGGGUAUAACCUAUGUUUGCUCUAUGCUCUACGGAUCCAAGACUUUCUUUGGUAGCUGACUCAAUCGAUACCUUUGACUCCCCGGCAACUACAAAGAGAGGAAGGAACAAGCUUAGUAGCCCUGUAACCUCGUAUGAUGGAUACCGGUAACCAACCAUAGCCCCUUUUUCUUCUAAAGUGAGGAAGCAGCCCUUGAACUAGUAAGUAGAGUAAUGCAUUGGAUUGUACCCAAGGAAGUAAGAUAUUAUAGAUGCUAAAGGAGCGAAAAACACAUGAUAGGCGAUAGGCACCCCGAGUGGAAUCUGUCUUUUCUCCUUAUAAAGAAAGGCAUCUAUAAAGCUGCC
rnacentral:lncRNA from 1 species